rnacentral:rRNA from 1 species
AAGUGAACUGUGCCGAUUGAAUUUCUCCAAUCGACACUUCAGCCUUGCGACCGUACUCCCCAGGCGGCGAGCUUAACGGCUUCCCUGCGACACUUCGAUCGCGUUAUGCGACCGAAUCAUCUAGCUCGCAUCGUUUACGGCUGGGACUACCCGGGUAUCUAAUCCGGUUCGCUCCCCCAGCUUUCACCCCUCACCGUCGAGCGCGUUCUGGCGGACCGCCUUCGCCACUGGUGGUCUUCCGCGGAGUCAAAGGAUUUUACCCCUACACGCGGAGUACCGUCCGCCUCUCCCGCCUCCUAGUCUCGCAGUAUCCUCUGCAGGCCAGCCGUUGAGCGACUGGAUUUAACAGAGGACUUACGAAACCGGCUACGGGUGCUUUAGGCCCAAUAAUCGUCCCGACCACUCGAGGAGCUGGUAUUACCGCGGCGGCUGACACCAGACUUGCCCUCCCCUUAUUCC